AUGAAACCAGAAGUUGAAAAGGCACUGAUUUCCAAGGAAACAAUGAUGGAAAAGCAUGGAAGCUUGAAGAUAACCAAUUUCCAAAACAAAAAUUGACACUGCUCAUACCACUGUGGUGGCGGCUGGCCGCUGAUGAACCAGGCGUGUCGGCUGCAAGCACACGGGCCAGAACGGUCACAGCUCAAGGAAACUAACUGUGCUGUCCGGGUGCGGGAGACAGGGGAGUUGAUGAGAGACAACUGGGCUAUGUUUGUGCGAUUUCUGUGUGAGAGAAAC
rnacentral:lncRNA from 1 species